GACGAACGCUGGCGGCGUGCUUAACACAUGCAAGUCGAACGGAAAGGCCCUGCUUUUGUGGGGUGCUCGAGUGGCGAACGGGUGAGUAGCACGUGAGUAACCUGCCCUUGACUUUGGGAUAACUUCAGGAAACUGGGGCUAAUACCGGAUAGGAGCUCCUGCUGCAUGGUGGGGGCUGGAAAGUUUCGGCGGUUGGGGAUGGACUCGCGGCUUAUCAGCUUGUUGGUGGGGUAGUGGCUUACCAAGGCUUUGACGGGUAGCCGGCCUGAGAGGGUGACCGGCCACAUUGGGACUGAGAUACGGCCCAGACUCCUACGGGAGGCAGCAGUGGGGAAUAUUGCACAAUGGGCGGAAGCCUGAUGCAGCAACGCCGCGUGCGGGAUGACGGCCUUCGGGUUGUAAACCGCUUUCGCCUGUGACGAAGCGUGAGUGACGGUAAUGGGUAAAGAAGCACCGGCUAACUACGUG
rnacentral:rRNA from 1 species